rnacentral:rRNA from 2 species
UACGGAGGGUGCAAGCGUUAUCCGGAUUCACUGGGUUUAAAGGGUGCGUAGGCGGGCAGGUAAGUCAGUGGUGAAAUCUUUGGGCUUAACCCGGAAACUGCCGUUGAUACUAUCUGUCUUGAAUACUGUGGAGGUGAGCGGAAUAUGUCAUGUAGCGGUGAAAUGCUUAGAUAUGACAUAGAACACCAAUUGCGAAGGCAGCUCACUACCCAGCCAUUGACGCUGAGGCACGAAAGCGUGGGGAUCAAACAGG